GCUGAUAUGGCUCAGUUGGUAGAGCGCACCCUUGGUAAGGGUGAGGUCCCCAGUUCGACUCUGGGUAUCAGCGCCA
rnacentral:tRNA from 1 species